GUUGGUAGAGUCUCUGGUGGUGAGUUUGGAGGAGUUUGCGGUGGUGUCUCCGGUGGUGUGUUUGGUGGAAGCGUUGGUGGAAUCUGUGGUGAUUGGUUUGGAGGAGUUCCCGGUGGUGUGUUUGGAAGUGUCUCCGGUGGUGUGUUUGGAGGCGUUUCCGGUGGAGUGUUUGGAGGACUUUGUGGGGGUGUGUUUGGUGGAGUUUCCGGUUGUGUGGUUGGAGGAGUUUCCGGGGGUGUGUUUGGAGGAGUUUCUGGUGGUGUGGUUGGAGGUGUCUUUGGUGUGUUUGGAGGAGUUCCCGGUGGUGUGUUUGGAGGUGUUUCUGGUGGAGUAUUUGGAGGACUUUGUGGGGGGGUGUUUGGUGGAGUUUCUGGUGGUGUGAUUGGAGGAGUUUCUGGUGGUGUGGUUGGAGGUGUCUCCGGUGGUGUGUUUGGAGGAGUUCCUGGUGGUGUGUUUGGAAGUGUCUCUGGUGGUGUGUUUGGAGGAGUUCCCGGUGGUGUGUUUGGAGGUGUUUCUGGUGGAGUAUUUGGAGGACUUUGUGGGGGGGUGUUUGGUGGAGUUUCUGGUGGUGUGAUUGGAGGAGUUUCUGGUGGUGUUGUUGGAGGUGUCUCCGGUGGUGUGUUUGGAGGAGUUCCUGGUGGUGUGUUUGGAAGUGUCUCCGGUGGUGUGUUUGGAGGAGUUCCCGGUGGUGUGUUUGGAGGUGUUUCUGGUGGAGUAUUUGGAGGACUUUGUGGGGGUGUGUUUGGUGGAAUUUCCGGUGGUGUGGUUGGAGAAGUUUCCGGUGGUGUGUUUGGAGAAGUUUCUGGUGGUGUGGUUGGAGGUGUCUCCGGUGGUGUGGUUGGAGGUGUCUCCGGUGGUGUGUUUGGAGGAGUUCCCGGUGGUGUGUUUGGAGGUAUUUCCGGUGGAGUGUUUGGAGGACUUUCUGGGGGCGUGUUUGGUGGAGUUUCUGGUGGUGUUGUUGGAGGUGUCUCCGGUGGCGUGUUUGGUGGAAGCGUUGGUGGAGUCUGUGGUGGUGUGUUAGGAGGUAUUUCCGGUGGUAUGGUCGGAGGUGUCUGUGGUGGUAGGGUUGGUGGACCUGUUGGUAAAACUUCCGUAGGUGGUGUGGCUGGUGGACCCGUCGGUGGAGUCUCCGGUGGUAUGGUUGGAGGCAGUGUUGGUGGAAUCUGUGGGGUCACAGUUGGUGGAGGCGGUGGCGAUGGUUCUGGACAAGUACAUACUGGACAUGGUGGCGGAGGAAUGCGUGGUGGAGGUGGGCGGAGAUAGGGACGGUUUUGGGCUUGGG
rnacentral:lncRNA from 1 species